rnacentral:rRNA from 1 species
CAGUCGCCGCGGGAAUACGUAGGGUGCGAGCGUUAAUCGGAAUUACUGGGCGUAAAGCGCGCGCAGGCGGUUCGUUAAGACAGAUGUGAAAUCCCCGGGCUUAACCUGGGAACUGCAUUUGUGACUGGCGAGCUAGAGUAUGGCAGAGGGGGGUAGAAUUCCACGUGUAGCAGUGAAAUGCGUAGAGAUGUGGAGGAAUACCGAUGGCGAAGGCAGCCCCCUUGGCCAAUACUGACGCUCAUGCACGAAAGCGUGGGGAGCAAACAGGAUUAGAUACCCCAGUAGUCCCUGUCUCUUAUAU